GUGAGGAAUAUUGCGCAAUGGAGGCAACUCUGACGCAGCCAUGCCGCGUGCAGGAAGAAGGCGCUACGCGUUGUAAACUGCUUUUAACCGGGAAGAAACCCCAGGACGUGUCCUGGGUUGACGGUACCGGAGGAAUAAGCACCGGCUAACUUCGUGCCAGCAGCCGCGGUAAUACGAAGGGUGCAAGCGUUAUCCGGAUUCAUUGGGUUUAAAGGGUGCGUAGGCGGAGCGUUAAGUCAGUGGUGAAAUCCUGCAGCUUAACUGUAGACUUGCCAUUGGUACUGGCGCUCUUGAGUGCGCUUGAAGUGGGCGGAAUGUGCCGUGUAGCGGUGAAAUGCUUAGAUAUGGCACAGAACACCAAUUGCGAAGGCAGCUCACUAAGGCGAUACUGACGCUGAGGCACGAAAGCGUGGGGAUCGAACAGGAUUAGAAACCCUAGUAGUCC
rnacentral:rRNA from 1 species